rnacentral:rRNA from 1 species
GAUGAACGCUGGCGGCGUGCCUAAUACAUGCAAGUCGAGCGAACAGACGAGGAGCUUGCUCCUCUGACGUUAGCGGCGGACGGGUGAGUAACACGUGGAUAACCUACCUAUAAGACUGGGAUAACUUCGGGAAACCGGAGCUAAUACCGGAUAAUAUAUUGAACCGCAGGGUUCAAUAGUGAAAGACGGUUUUGCUGUCACGUAUAGAUGGAUCCGCGCCGCAUUAGCUAGUUGGUAAGGUAACGGCUUAUCAAGGCAACGAUGCGUAGCCGACCUGAGAGGGGGGUCGGCCACACUGGAGCUGAGACGCGGUCCAGACUCCUGCGGGAGGCAGCAGUAGGGAAUCUUCCGCAAUGGGCGGAAGCCUGACGGAGCAACGCCGGGUGAGUGAUGAAGGUCUUCGGAUCGUAAAACUCUGUUAUUAGGGAAGAACAAAUGUGUAAGUAACUAUGCACGUCUUGACGGUACCUAGUCAGAAAGCCACGGCUAACUACGUG